UAGGGAAUCUUCGGCAAUGGGGGGAACCCUGACCGAGCAACGCCGCGUGAGUGAAGAAGGUUUUCGGAUCGUAAAGCUCUGUUGUUAAGGAAGAACGAGUGUGAGAAUGGAAAGUUCAUGCUGUGACGGUACUUAACCAGAAAGGGACGGCUAACUACGUGCCAGCAGCCGCGGUAAUACGUAGGUCCCGAGCGUUGUCCGGAGUUAUUGGGCGUAAAGCGAGCGCAGGCGGUUAGAUAAGUCUGAAGUUAAAGGCAGUGGCUCAACCAUUGUAGUCUUUGGAAACUGUUUAACUUGAGUGCAGAAGGGGAGAGUGGAAUUCCAUGUGUAGCGGUGAAAUGCGUAGAUAUAUGGAGGAACACCGGUGGCGAAAGCGGCUCUCUGGUCUGUAACUGACGCUGAGGCUCGAAAACGUGGGGAGCGAACAGG
rnacentral:rRNA from 1 species